rnacentral:rRNA from 1 species
AAAAGCUCGUAGUUGGAUCUCAACAGCCUUGAAGCGGUUAACUUUGUAGUUUUACUGCUUUAUAGGCUGUGCUUUUGCUGGAGGUUUAGGGGUGCUCUUGAUCGAGUGUCUCUGGAUGCCAGCAGGUUUACUUUGAAAAAAUUAGAGUGCUCAAAGCAGGCUAAAAUGCCUGAAUAUUCGUGCAUGGAAUAAUAGAAUAGGAUGUCGAUCCUAUUUUGUUGGUUUUCGGGACUCGACAUAAUGAUAAAUAGGGACAGUCGGGGGCAUUUGUAUUCAAACGACAGAGGUGAAAUUCUUGGACCGUUUGAAGACAAACUACUGCGAAAGCAUUUGCCAAGAAUGUUUUCAUUAAUCAAGAACGAAAGUUAGAGGUUCGAAGGCGAUUAGAUACCGCCCUAGUUCUAACCAUAAACGAUGCCAGCUAGCGAUCUGCCUGCGUUUUUACUGUAGACUGGGCAGGAAGCUUCCGGGAAACCAAAGCAUUUGGGUUCCAGGGGAAGUAUGGUUGCAAAGCUGAAACUUAAAGGAAUUGACGGAAGGGCACCACCAGGAGUGGAGCCUGUGGCUUAAUU